rnacentral:rRNA from 1 species
UUCACCCACUACUCAUGGGUUUUCCCUCUACGCAACAAGUCUGACACGAGUGCCACUCUUCAACGCUUUUUCGCUUACGUCUCCACUCAAUAUAACGCUUCUAUUAAAUGUGUGCAGUGUGACAAUGGUGGCGAAUUCCUCUCCUUCUCCCUUCGGGAUCACUUCUCGCGCCUCGGUGUAGUCUUUCGACUCUCCUGCCCACACACUUCACCACAAAAUGGGAAGGCCGAGCGCCUCUUACUCACCACCAACGACGUGCUACGCACUCUUCUCGUCCACGCACACAUGCCACCCGAAUAUUGGGUUGAGGCCCUCUACACUGCCAACCAUCUCAUCAACCGGCGCCCGUCCUCCGCGGUCACCAUGCUCACCCCCUACUACCUCCUACACGGGCAGCACCCCUCUUACGACCACUUACGCGUUUUUGGGUGUCUCUGCUUCCCUAACCUCACUCACCAAACACCACACAAAUUAGCACCCCGCUCCACUCCCUGUGUCCUCCUUGGGUAUCCCUUAGAACACAAGGGUUAUCGCUGCCUCGAUCUCCACAGCCGGCGUGUUCACAUCUCUCGUCACGUGGUGUUUGACGAGCACACCUUCCCUUUUGCCACACUCGCCGCAGAA